rnacentral:rRNA from 1 species
CACGUAGGGCGCAAGCGUUGUCCGGAAUUAUUGGGCGUAAAGAGCUCGUAGGCGGUCUGUGCGUCCGCUGUGAAAACUCGGGGCUUAACCCCGAGCCUGCAGUGGAUACGGGCAGACUAGAGGUAGGUAGGGGAGAAUGGAAUUCCCGGUGUAGCGGUGAAAUGCGCAGAUAUCGGGAGGAACACCGGUGGCGAAGGCGGUUCUCUGGGCCGAUACUGACGCUGAGGAGCGAAAGCGUGGGGAGCGAACAGG